rnacentral:rRNA from 1 species
UACGUAGGGUGCAGGCGUAAUCGGAAUUACUGGGCGUAAAGCGUGCGCAGGCGGCCUCUUAAGUCAGAUGUGAAAUCCCCGGGCUUAACCUGGGACUGCGUUUGAAACUGGGAGGCUUGAGUGUGGAAGAGGGGGGUGGAAUUCCAGGUGUAGCAGUGAAAUGCGUAGAGAUCUGGAGGAACACCGAUGGCGAAGGCAGCCCCCUGGGCUAACACUGACGCUCAUGCACG